GGGGUGGUUCUUUGGAUUUUUUGAUCAUUCACGUUGGAAGGUUUCUUUCUCAUUCCGUGGUGGCUGUUGUUAGAUGCACGCGUUGCGCCAAUGAGGGUGCAAUGAGGGUGCUGGUGGGUGCUAGCAUGGGGCCGCGUCGCGGUGGCUGGCGGUGGCAGCUUCGUUCUGACUGAGUUUCCUGGCAUAUUUGGUUGGGCUGGGAAAUCUGGGUUGGGCUAACUAAUUGGGCCGUAAAAACCCAUUUGGGCAGUUUUUGAAAUAAUAUCAAUAAAUUGAAAAUGAAAAAAAAAUUGUAAUUGAAGAGAAACUUUAUGAUAAUAAUUAUUAUAAUUAUGAGAAGAAAAAUU
rnacentral:lncRNA from 1 species